AGUGAACGCUGGCGGUAGGCCUAACACAUGCAAGUCGAACGGCAGCACAGUAAGAGCUUGCUCUUACGGGUGGCGAGUGGCGGACGGGUGAGGAAUACAUCGGAAUCUACUUUUUCGUGGGGGUUAACGUAGGGAAACUUACGCUAAUACCGCAUACGACCUACGGGUGAAAGCAGGGGAUCUUCGGACCUUGCGCGAUUGAAUGAGCCGAUGUCGGAUUAGCUAGUUGGCGGGGUAAAGGCCCACCAAGGCGACGAUCCGUAGCUGGUCUGAGAGGAUGAUCAGCCACACUGGAGCUGAGACACGGUCCAGACUCCUACGGGAGGCAGCAGUGGGGAAUAUUGGACAAUGGGCGCAAGCCUGAUCCAGCCAUACCGCGUGGGUGAAGAAGGCCUUCGGGUUGUAAAGCCCUUUUGUUGGGAAAGAAAAGCAGCAGGUUAAUACCCCGCUGUUCUGACGGUACCCAAAGAAUAAGCACCGGCUAACUUCGUG
rnacentral:rRNA from 1 species